rnacentral:tRNA from 1 species
UCCCCCAUAGCUCAAUUGGCAGAGCGAGCGGCUGUUAACCGCUAGGUUGUUGGUUCGAGUCCAACUGGGGGAG